CCUACGGGUGGCAGCAGUGAGGAAUAUUGGGCAAUGGGCGCGAGCCUGAACCAGCCAAGUAGCGUGAAGGAUGACUGCCCUACGGGUUGUAAACUUCUUUUAUAAAGGAAUAAAGUGAGGCACGUGUGCCUUUUGUAUGUACUUUAUGAAUAAGGAUCGGCUAACUCCGUGCUAGCAGCCGCGGUAAUACGGAGGAUCCGAGCGUUAGCCGGAUUUAUUGGGUUUAAAGGGAGCGUCGAUGGGUUGUUAAGUCAGUUGUUAAAGUUUGCGGCUCAAACGUAAAAUUGCAAUUGAUACUGGGAGACUUGAGUACAGUGGAGGUAGGCGGAAUUCGUGGUGUAGCGGUGAAAUGCUUAGAUAUCACGAAGAACUCCGAUUGCGAAGGCAGCUUACUAAACUGCCACUGACAUUGAUGCUCGAAAGUGUGGGUAUCAAACAGGAUUAGAUACCCGGGUAGUC
rnacentral:rRNA from 1 species